rnacentral:tRNA from 1 species
GGGUGUCGUAUAGUGGUUAGUAUUUCUCCCUUCCAAGGAGACGGCGACGGUUCGAUUCCGUUCACCC